UCUGUUUGCAAUCUAAGUUGGGCUUGCCUGUUUGUCUCAUGAUGUGUGGCCCAUUUACUUGUUCUUCUCUUUUCAUUCAAAUCUAAUUUCACGAACAUGACCGAAGCUGCUCUCACUGUCGUUAACAUCUUCACGAACAUGACGAAAGAUGACGUUGUUCCGCACCAUCGUUACCAACUAUACGCCCAUGACGGAAGAUAACGCUACGGAUGAUGAUGCGAUUCAUAACCUUUGUCACCAACUAUCCCACAAUUUUCUCUUCUUCGUAUUGUCAUUCAAUCCCAUCGCCACCACAUUGGAUAGUCAAGCUCUCCUUCUACAUCUUCAAUUGUACCAAUCUCUACCAGUUGAGAACCCUAAUUUCAGUAUUUGUGGGUUGUGCGCUCUUGCUUUUGUACGAUGGGUUGUGUCGUGUCGUAUUGAUUUGAUGAACGAUUGACUGUGAAAUUGCAUGUGUUUGGUAGUGAGGCAUGGCCCGCACAGGCUUGAAUCAGUGAUGACUGUAUGGUGGUUGGUGGCCGAGUCCCUGUUCAUGGUCAGUUUUUGAGUUUCCAUCUUCGUGACUUCCUAUUCUAUAGUGCUCUUGAGAUAUGUUGCAAUUUACUGCAUAUUCCCUCCCCUCAAUUUCUACGUAUGACUUCCAUGUAUGUAUUCAUUUUCUCUCAAUCAAACCCUUUUAGUAAUUUUCUCUUAAUUCAUUUGACUGCUACUCUAUCUUAUGAACAUAGACUAUAAUCUACUUACAUUUGUAACACACUCCCUUCAUAAAUUGGAAAAGAGAAUGGUUGGGAGUGAUGUGAGGGUAUAAAUUGAAAAAAAAUACUAUGGAGACUCCUUAUAAAGUUCUCAGCUAUCCCUUCCAGUUCAAUGGUGUGGUUACACUGGGAAAAGAAAUUUUGGCAGUGUGAUGGGGAAUAUGUUAUGUCUGGUUGUGUUUUUUUUUUAAUAUUUAAAUGGAUUUAGUAGUGAUGAUUUUGAGGUUGAGGAGGGUGAGAAAGGAGGAGCGAAUGGUUGAGCUGAAGGGGAAUGGGAGCAUUUGGUGGCCAUUGAUAAAUGUUUCAACUUAUAGCUUGAAGAGCUGUUUAGAGCAUAUGCUUAUUGUUGGGAAAGAGUCGAUUGGGGAUUGUGUAUAAAAUUGUGAUGCUUGGGAAUUUCCUGAUUUUGGCUUUGAGAAGAUUAGGGAUGGUGGGGAAUAGAUGUACGAGGAGUUUGUUGCUAAGGUAAAAACUAUUGGGAAACUGAAGCACCAUAACAUUGUUAAGUUGAGAGCUUGUUAUUAGGCUCUUGAUGAGAAGCUCUUUAUCAGUGAUUUCAUCUCCAAUGGGAAUUUGGCCACUGCCCUUUGAGAGUCGCAGGCUUGGGUUGGGGGAAAGAGUAUACACAACAAACACGACAACUUCCACAAAAAAGAAAUAGUCUUCUACUUAUGAAUAUAGUUGUAUCUCACCAAAAAGUCUCCUUUGCCUCACUUUCACUAAGAUAGUCCUAAGGUGUUUGUUAUCUAUGCAUAUCUAACAUAUAUGAUUGUUGUACUCCAACAUGACCUUCUUUCCGAGCUUUAAUUUUCAGUUGAAAAAAUACUUAAUUAUUUUCAAUUGGAAAAAUUUCAGUUGAGGCAUGUGUUUGUUUGGUGUGUGGUUUCUCUUGCAGAUAUCAAAGUGUGCAGAUUCCAAACAAAGGCAAGAGAAUGAAAGAAAUGCCAAAAAUUGACUUACAUGUGUUUGAGACUUUGGAUAUAGUAGUGAUUAUUUAUUUUCUAUUAAAAAUAAAAUUGAUUGUGUUAGACUAAUUCAAUUUUAGCAUAUAUUUUUUUAGUAGAAGGAAUUGUACAAUUUUUUUGGGUUGAAGUAUGUAAAAAGAUGCAUGUGAUAUUUGUUUUUCAUUUUCAGUGCAAAAUUGAUUUAUUCAAAGGGAAUAAUGUCACUGUAGUAUGAAACCAAAUGUUACCAUGGUUGUUUAAGCUAUCCUGUUGUUGCUAUGCCAAAAAGUGUUUGCCCUGCCCAUUUAAUAAAAGAUAUCUGACACAAUCAAUAUAUUUAUGUGGGUUCUAUACAUAGCUAGAAUAUUGUAUUCAAACUGUUUAUUUUUUUUGAAAAAAAGAUGUAUAAUUAAUAGUAAAGCCUGAGCCAAAGAAGCAAACAGGAAAAGUACAUGUUACAACUGACUAUUCAAACCUUUUAUAUAAUUCAUGAAUAGAAAACUACUAUUUAUUUUGAUUUUUAUAAAAUUAGCACAAUUUCAAACGUAGAUUAGAUAGUAAAUAACUAAUAUUAUGAAAAGGUAAAAAGUCAUUUGUCAUUUUUUUGUGAUAGUAUUAUUUAUACUAUAAUAUGAAGUUAAUACAAACUGAGGAUCCAUAGUUUUCAAUGAAAUCAAGUUUCCUUUGAUUCUUUCCCUCUGUUUUUCUUUACCAAUUUUCUAUUAACAUAUUUGCUUUUACUUAAUUAUUUUGGUUUGUUGUUAGCUGAAGUUGAUAUGACAUUUAUUAUUUACUAUGGUUAUGUGUCUUUCCAUUGUCAUAGAAUUGAAUCAUGCUAGGGUGCAUCACAUGAAAUGUAAAAUGAAAUGUCGUAAUUCGCAAGGUAUAGAUUACAAAAUAGUAAUGCAUUGUUCUUAAGGAAGUAAAGUUUUCUUUUUGGCCUUUUUCUGUGUUUUUUUCUUACCCCAAUGUCCUUUUAAGAUACACAUUUCCUUCAAUGUCAUAAUCUUAUAUUUAACUUUGUAUGGCACAUGGCUUAUGAUUAAAAUUUAUUUGCAUGGGUACAUGAUGUUUAUUAUGAUUGAGGCAAGACCGUAAAGAUGUUGAAGUAAAUUAAACGCAAGUUGGAGAAAGGAAUCAUGAUGGCUUUUUGAAGGUUCAAAGGUGGUCCUGAUUUUAAUGGUUGAGUUGUGGGGCUUGGAGGAAAUGAAAAUGGUAUUUUCAACGAGUGGGACGAACCUUGGAAGAAGAUGAAACUAAGGUCCGCAGAUGGAGGAAUGGUGAUAGAAGAAGAUGAGGGUUUUUGGUUUUGUUUUCAGGUUCAUGGAGGUUUAAAUGUAGCUUCAAUGGUUUCAAUGUGGAAGAUGAUGGAGGAUGAAGCCGAAAAAGAGAAGAUAAGUGUUGAUUAUAGUUUGUCAUUGGUUACGGGGCUUUGAUUAAUUGGGAUAUUUGUGAAUUGUGGCUAUAGUGGAAUUGAGGAAUGGAGUUGUGGUCAUAGGAGAUAAAAUAGAAGGAAUGGUUACUACAUGGUGCCAAAAAUGAAGAGAUGCAGGAGAUUAAGUUGUUAUUUAGGGUUUUGUGGUUGGCUAAGGUGUGGAUGAAAGUUGCAUAACAAUGGUGAAAUAAGUGGUUCAAGAUGAUGGUGAAAAUCCUCUCCCCCAUAAAGAUGUUGUCAUGGGGGCAUUGAGAGGGUCAAUCUAAAAUGUUUCCAGAGUGGCAAAACAUAAGAUAUGUACUAUGUACUCAUGUUACUCAAUAGGUGAUUUGCUAUGUUCCUUUAGCCACUCAACUUGUGGUUGCUUUAAUUGAAAUUCCUAACAUAUAAAAGAUCA